rnacentral:rRNA from 1 species
UAGUCCACGCCGUAAACGAUGGUUACUAGCUGUUUGGACUAAUUGAGGUCUAAGUGGCCAAGCGAAAGUGAUAAGUAACCCACCUGGGGAGUACGUUCGCAAGAAUGAAACUCAAAGGAAUUGACGGGGGCCCGCACAAGCGGUGGAGCAUGUGGUUUAAUUCGAUGAUACGCGAGGAACCUUACCAGGGCUUAAAUGCAGUAUGACAGAUUUGGAAACAGAUUUUUCUUCGGACAUAUUGCAAGGUGCUGCAUGGUUGUCGUCAGCUCGUGCCGUGAGGUGUCAGGUUAAGUCCUAUAACGAGCGCAACCCCUAUUGCUAGUUGCCAGCGGAUAAUGCCGGGGACUCUAGUGAGACUGCCGGUGCAAACCGUGAGGAAGGUGGGGAUGACGUCAAAUCAUCACGGCCCUUACGUCCUGGGCUACACACGUGCUACAAUGGUUGGUACAGAGGGCAGCUACCCAGUGAUGGGAUGCGAAUCUCUAAAGCCAGCCCUAGUUCGGAUUG